CCCUCUGGGGCGCCCGAGCGCGGCUGGAACAUCGUGAAGAACGUCUUCUACCCCCGGCCGCCGGUCCUCGCGCCCUGGCUGAACCGGUUCCUCUCCGGAACGCCCUACGGCAUGGUCGACCUUGUCAGUUUCGUCCGGGAUCAUGCCACGGCCGAUUUCCUGAGCGCUUACAAGGCCCUCUUGUUCGCCGGUUGGAACACGGCCUCGGAGAAGCAGUAUGCCGAGCUCCUGCGGUACGUCCGCGACGGCGGUAUCCUGUUCAUUUCCAUUCCGCACCUGUCCACCAACGCGACGCGAAAUUAUGGCAACUACGGCGGGGAGGAACUCGUCCGCGGCGGCGACUUCUCGGAAUUGGCGGGAGGGC
rnacentral:rRNA from 1 species